GAUGAACGCUGGCGGCGUGCCUAACACAUGCAAGUCGAGCGAUCUUCUUCGGAAGAGAGCGGCGGACGGGUGAGUAACGCGUGGGUAACCUGCCCUGUACACACGGAUAACAUACCGAAAGGUAUGCUAAUACGAGAUAAUAUACUUUUAUCGCAUGGUAGAAGUAUCAAAGCUCUGGCGGUACAGGAUGGACCCGCGUCUGAUUAGCUAGUUGGUAAGGUAACGGCUUACCAAGGCGACGAUCAGUAGCCGACCUGAGAGGGUGAUCGGCCACAUUGGAACUGAGACACGGUCCAAACUCCUACGGGAGGCAGCAGUGGGGAAUAUUGCACAAUGGGCGAAGCCUGAUGCAGCAACGCCGCGUGAGCGAUGAAGGCCUUCGGGUCGUAAAGCUCUGUCCUCAAGGAAGAUAAUGACGGUACUUGAGGAGGAAGCCCCGGCUAACUACGUGCCAGCAGCCGCAGUAA
rnacentral:rRNA from 1 species